UACAGAGGGUGCGAGCGUUAAUCGGAAUUACUGGGCGUAAAGCGUGCGUAGACGGUUAUUUAAGUCGGGUGUGAAAGCCCCGGGCUCAACCUGGGAACGGCGCUUGAGACUGGCACGCUCGAGUUCGGGAGAGGAUGGUGGAAUUCCCAGUGUAGAGGUGAAAUUCGUAGAUAUUGGGAAGAACACCGAUGGCGAAGGCAGCCAUCUGGACCGACACUGACGCUGAGGCGCGAAAGCGUGGGGAGCAAACAGG
rnacentral:rRNA from 1 species